rnacentral:rRNA from 1 species
GAUGAACGCUGGCGGUAUGCUUAACACAUGCAAGUCGAACGGUCUUUUAGGAGACAGUGGCGGACGGGUGAGUAACGCGUAAGAAUCUACCCUCAGGUCGGGGACAACCACUGGAAACGGUGGCUAAUACCGGAUGUGCCGAGAGGUGAAAGGCUUGCUGCCUGGGGAAGAGCUUGCGUCUGAUUAGCUAGUUGGUAGUGUAAGGGACUACCAAGGCGACGAUCAGUAGCUGGUCUGAGAGGAUGAUCAGCCACACUGGGACUGAGACACGGCCCAGACUCCUACGGGAGGCAGCAGUGGGGAAUUUUCCGCAAUGGGCGAAAGCCUGACGGAGCAAUACCGCGUGAGGGAGGAAGGCUCUUGGGUUGUAAACCUCUUUUCUCAGGGAAGAACAGAAUGACGGUACCUGAGGAAUAAGCAUCGGCUAACUCCGUGCCAGCAGCCGCGGUAAUACGGAGGAUGCAAGCGUUAUCCGGAAUGAUUGGGCGUAAAGAGUCCGUAGGUGGCAUUGAAAGUCUGCUGUUAAAGAGUCUAGCUCAACUAGAUAAAAGCAGUGGAAACUACAAAGCUAGAGUUUGGUCGGGGCAGAAGGAAUUCCUGGUGUAGCGGUGAAAUGCGUAGAUAUCAGGAAGAACACCGGUGGCGAAGGCGUUCUGCUAGGCCGAGACUGACACUGAGGGACGAAAGCUAGGGGAGCGAAUGGGAUUAGAUACCCCAGUAGUCCUAGCCGUAAACGAUGGAUACUAGGCGUAGCUCGUAUCGACCCGAGCUGUGCCGGAGCUAACGCGUUAAGUAUCCCGCCUGGGGAGUACGCAGGCAACUGUGAAACUCAAAGGAAUUGACGGGGGCCCGCACAAGCGGUGGAGUAUGUGGUUUAAUUCGAUGCAACGCGAAGAACCUUACCAAGGCUUGACAUGUCACGAAUCCUGUAGAAACAUAGGAGUGCCUUAGGGAGCGUGAACACAGGUGGUGCAUGGCUGUCGUCAGCUCGUGUCGUGAGAUGUUGGGUUAAGUCCCGCAACGAGCGCAACCCUCGUUUUUAGUUGCCAGCAUUAAGAUGGGCACUCUAGAGAGACUGCCGGUGACAAACCGGAGGAAGGUGGGGAUGACGUCAAGUCAGCAUGCCCCUUACGUCUUGGGCUACACACGUACUACAAUGCUACGGACAAAGGGCAGCUACACAGCGAUGUGAUGCGAAUCUCAUAAACCGUAGCUCAGUUCAGAUCGAAGGCUGCAACUCGCCUUCGUGAAGGAGGAAUCGCUAGUAAUUGCAGGUCAGCAUACUGCAGUGAAUUCGUUCCCGGGCCUUGUACACACCGCCCGUCACACCAUGGAAGUUGGUCACGCCCGAAGUCGUUACCCCAACCUAUUGGAGGGGGAUGCCUAAGGUAGGACUGA